rnacentral:rRNA from 1 species
AGUGAACGCUGGCGGUAGGCCUAACACAUGCAAGUCGAACGGCAGCACAGUAAGAGCUUGCUCUUACGGGUGGCGAGUGGCGGACGGGUGAGGAAUACAUCGGAAUCUACUUUUUCGUGGGGGAUAAUGUAGGGAAACUUACGCUAAUACCGCAUACGACCUACGGGUGAAAGCAGGGGAUCUUCGGACCUUGCGCGAUUGAAUGAGCCGAUGUCGGAUUAGCUAGUUGGCGGGGUAAAGGCCCACCAAGGCGACGAUCCGUAGCUGGUCUGAGAGGAUGAUCAGCCACACUGGAACGGAGACACGGUCCAGACUCCUACGGGAGGCGGCAGUGGGGAAUAUUGGACAAUGGGCGCAAGCCUGAUCCAGCCAUACCGCGUGGGUGAAGAAGGCCUUCGGGUUGUAAAGCCCUUUUGUUGGGAAAGAAAAGCAGCAGGUUAAUACCCCGCUGUUCCGACGGUACCCAAAGAAUAAGCACCGGCUAACUUCGUG